rnacentral:rRNA from 1 species
UUCCCUAGUACGGCGAGUGAGCGGGAAGAGCUCAAAUUUGAAAUCUGGUAGCCUUCGGUUGCCCGAGUUGUAAUCUAGAGAAGUGUUUUCCGUGCCGGCCCAUGUACAAGUCCCUUGGAACAGGGCGUCAUAGAGGGUGAGAAUCCCGUCCUUGACAUGGACCCCCGGUGCUUUGUGAUACACUUUCAACGAGUCGAGUUGUUUGGGAAUGCAGCUCAAAAUGGGUGGUGAAUUCCAUCUAAAGCUAAAUAUUGGCGAGAGACCGAUAGCGAACAAGUACCGUGAGGGAAAGAUGAAAAGCACUUUGGAAAGAGAGUUAAACAGUACGUGAAAUUGUUGAAAGGGAAACGAUUGAAGUCAGUCAUGCUCUUAGGAUUCAGCCGUUCUGCGGUGUAUUUCCUUUGAGUGGGGUCAACAUCAGUUUUGAUCGAUGGAUAAAGGCACGAGGAAGGUAGCACUCUCGGGUGAACUUAUAGCCUCGCGUCAUAUACAUUGAUUGGGACUGAGGAACGCAGCAUGCCUUUAUGGCCGGGAUUCGUCCACGUACAUGCUUAGGAUGUUGACAUAAUGGCUUUAAACGACCCGUCUUGAAACACGGAC